GAAUGUUGCCAUGGCAAACCCUGUCGUCUCAGAGUUAGAUCUUGCUUAACCCCAGGAUUCCAAUUAACCACGCUCUAUUUAAACAGCACUCCUCCACGGACGUGUCCUCUUUCGCACUGUUGUAACUAUCCGCAGUUCCUCGACCCUUUUGGGGGUGGAUGACGUCAUUUUGCGUAUUCGGAUAUGUAGGAACUUGGACGAGGACCUCGUCUUCCGAACACUAUAUUAGCCCCAAAUCUGAAGUGAGUACUUUCCGCGGGGCCGCAGGAACGAUAUUACGUAGCUCUUUGGUGAUUCGCUGAAAUCAGCUGCAAACACGGCCCUUACUUUUCGCGCAUCACGUGGAGCCACCAUAUUUAAAAAACAACUACCCUGCCUGUAAAUUGUUGUUGUUGCUAGAAGGAAAAAUAAUGGAGCCAGAAAAAUCUCAAUGGAGCGACCAGGAGGUAAAAGCCCUCCUUGCUAUUUAUUCAACUGCGAACGUCCAAAGAGGACUUGGGGGGUCGCAACGCAACAUAAAAAUAUUUGCCGAGAUGUGCGCAUAACUGGAGGAGGCUAGGAUUUACCACAGCGCAAAACAAUGUAGGGAAAAAAUGAAGAAACUGAAACAAGACUACAAGAAAAUCAAAGACCACAACAACCAGAGCGGGGCAGACAGAAAAACUGGCAAAUGGUAUGAGACGCUCGACCUCAUAUUGGGCCACAGACCAGCAUAUGGAAACGCCAAAACAAAAGACUCCUCUGCUUCGCUUUUGCAGUCGUUGACACAGAAGGAGAACAACCCACCCUCCCAGCUGCUUGAAGAGCAAAACAGAUCUCUUCUAUCAAAUCCAAUUCCUGGUUCCUGCAGUACCCCUUGUCGCCCAUCAGAAACACCAUGCCCCCUUUGAGUGACAAACGCCAACCCGCAUCAGUGUACCCACCAGAAAACACCGUUGUGAUGUCCUGCCAUUCCCUGCCCCCACAAGGUGCCAGUACCAGUCAGCUUACUUACAUCAGUAGCUAUACACCGGUUCCCUGCUUGUCCAGAUUCACAAAUAAUCAGCCAACGCCGCCCAGCUGUCAGCACCCUCUGCCAUCCCAGACCUAUUGUUGCAGUCAAGAGGAGAAAGAAUGACACACUGUGCAACAACUGUGCAGGAAUGGCAGGCUUCAGACGCAGAAUACCAAAGGCAACGAGAUGCACAAUUUGACAGGAUGUUGUAGGUGUUUGAAGAGCAAAAUCAACACAUUGAAAAGCAGUGUCAGCCUCUGCUGUCUGAGUCCAGCCGGCAGCAUCAGAUAGCAAUGGAGGGUAUUCUGGACAUCAUUAACAGAAUAUCAAAUCGUCAUGACAAACCCUAAUUAAAAGAAAUGGGACUCAACCAAAUAUUGCACAUCUAAAUUUUUCUCUUGUUGCAU